CUUUUCCCAACUUUCCAUUUUUUUUUCCGUUCCCUCCACUUUUGCCAUCCAGCUCAAUUGCGGCAAUUAUUUUCACUUUCCACGCUGCUUGUAAUGCAAUUCUUUCCUGGCCGGCCUCUGCUGCUCCUCUUGCUCGGGUUUGCGAAGGUGGCUGUGAGGAGCAGCUCGUAGAAUGGAAGAAAGAAAGAAGCAACGGGAAGAAGAAUGAGAAACUUCCGAGAACAAUGAAGUGAAGGAAAGGCAACUCAGCUCUUAGGCAAGCACCGCGGAACAGAGAACACAGCGACGCAGGCGUGUGACGCGAAUAUUUGUUACGUCGCGGCAAUAAGGUUUACAAAUCACCUGGCGAGGAGUGCGGACACGUGGGAAUUCUUGUGGACAGGGAACCAAACCCAAUGACGCGGCGCUCAAACCUGAACCCGAGGAUAAAGUAAAUCUAAAAGCGCUUUGUCUGUCUGUUUGUUUGCUGUCUGAAUGUUUGUUUUGCACAACAAUGAAGCCGAAUUCGGGAGUAAAACUGACACUUUCCAGAGGAGAAUGGUCGAUGUUCGCUAACACUCACUGAAAAAUGGCGAAAAAAAAAUCUAUCUCUACAAAAAGUUAUCAGAAAUAAAUAAAAAUUCAGAGCGGAGGAGAGGGAGCCAUGAAAAUGAAUUCUCACAUUGUGCCUUUCUUGCCCCAAAAAUAACGUUUCCGUGAACACUGGUCUCUC